rnacentral:rRNA from 1 species
GACGAACGCUGGCGGCGUGCUUAACACAUGCAAGUCGAACGGAAAGGCCCUGCUUUUGUGGGGUGCUCGAGUGGCGAACGGGUGAGUAACACGUGAGUAACCUGCCCUUGACUUUGGGAUAACUUCAGGAAACUGGGGCUAAUACCGUAUAGGAGCUCCUGCUGCAUGGUGGGGGUUGGAAAGUUUCGGCGGUUGGGGAUGGACUCGCGGCUUAUCAGCUUGUUGGUGGGGUAGUGGCUUACCAAGGCUUUGACGGGUAGCCGGCCUGAGAGGGUGACCGGCCACAUUGGGACUGAGAGACGGACCAGACUCCAACGGGGGGCAGCAGUGGGGAAUAUUGUACAAUGGGCGGAAGCCUGAUGCAGCAACGCCGCGUGCGGGAUGACGGCCUUCGGGUUGUAAACCGCUUUCGCCUGUGACGAAGCGUGAGUGACGGUAAUGGGUAAAGAAGCACCGGCUAACUACGUG